AUGGCAAAACCCUUUCUGUCUCUAGGUGUUUAUAGAGCACCAGCACCACAGAAACCAGGCACUGUAUUAAGAGGCCUCCACUCAAGCCCUGUCCCUCCAGGGGGCCUUUCGCUACCCUCUCUCUCUUCCAUGUCAUUAAGUUAUCACAGUGCAACAGUUAUGCCAGGACGUGCAAUAGCUCCAGUAUGGCCAUUGUUGAUGCCUUGUUUAAAGCUUCAGGAUGAUCGUGUGAUGAUGCAGGUGGAAACCAAGAACACCUGUGUCCCCUUCUACAUGGAGAACAUAAAUUCAAAAAGAAAUUUUUCCCUCUGGUGUUAUAUAUGUCUACAAGUUUUAAACAGAUGCCUUUGGAAAAUUUUUAGUCUCAAGGCCAAAAAUCUUAACAAGACAACUGUAAAGAAACUGAUCAGGUGAACAGGGACUCUCUGGGCUCUCACCUCUGCCAUGCAAGGUCUCUCAGAAGAAUAUCAGUUUAUCUUUCUCAGCUGAGCAAGAACUUCCUGUGUCCAACAUCAAACCAGUUUCAGUGCUGAUCUACGGUUACUAUAAAAGAGGUAGGAGGCCUGGCUGAGAUCCUUGUCUAUUUCCACUAAACUGGGUGAUGUUUAUUUGCACUUUGCUGUUGGUACCUUACCACAAUUGACAAAGGGCCACAACCAGCCUGUGUGUUGGAUGUUAGCCCCAUGUCCCUCCCAGGUGCGGCCAGUGGACUCACUGGAAUUCACCAGACCCUCCGUGUAUGUUGUAGCUCUGCCUUGGGAAGGGAUCAAUCCAAAAUGGAGAGAUUUCAAGAGAGUUUCAUCAAAUAUUUAGUGACUUACUGAACAUGUCAGAUUCUGCCCAUGAGUUUAUAGAUCAGCUGUGAAGACAGGUCAUUCUGAAACAAGGGAGGCUGUGAGCCAGGGGAACUCUUGGUGCCAACUGGUGGAAAACACAGGGAUGCAUAAGUGUUACAGGGAUCCCCCUGGGCCUGGUAUUUACAUAGUACUUUGUCAGAGUCUGAUGCAAGAUCUCUACUGAAAUCUUGUGUCACACUGGCCAUCAUAAUCAUUGCAAAAUUUAUGUGUGGUUAAUAUGUAAGGAGCUAUGUAUAUAUAAUGAAAAUUAUGUUUUAAGUUCCGUGAGUUGGGUGCAUCUACCAGCAGUGGAUAAGCAAGUUUCUUUCAGCCAGAAAAUGUUUAUCUAUUGGUCUGUCUACAUUUAAAUUGAAUAUUGUAUACUUCAGAAUGAACACCUAUUUACAGUCUGAGCAAAAUACUAAUCAAGUGAUUGCAAAGUCUCUAGUGAAGACAAUGGCUUUUUUUUUUUUUAAACUACAGCUGUAGGGACAGAAACAAACUCUGCAUCUUUCCACCGAGGAGGCAAGAGGUCAGCAUACUUGUAUCAUGAAUGGAAAAUCACAGCCUAGGUUGGCUGUAAUACACUGGAAGGAUUUGGGGUGAGUUUUUGCUCUGACAUGACAAGCAAAGUAUAGGCUCUAGAACGCAUGUUAUGAUUUUAUUUUAUAUGUAACACGGUUUCCAAAAUUUCUGCUUUUUAUCACUUAAAGAGCAGAGAUUCCAAAAAAAAAAAAAAAAAACCCUCUCUCUGUAAACAAAUCUAAGUGCUGUGUGUAAAGCAGAGCCAUGUUCUACAGUGUAACUGACCCGCUGUGCUGUACUGCUCAUUGGGAACGGCAGAUUUGGAGAAGCUGAGAGUGUCCAGUGGAUCAGGGGUUUAGCAUUGCAGGUGGAUGCUUGGAUGGCUCAAGGGUUGGAUUGUAUCUCUCAUUAACCAAUAAAGAGAGCAGGGCCUGGAAGGUAGUGCUUGUC
ensembl:lncRNA